rnacentral:rRNA from 1 species
AUUGAACGCUGGCGGCAUGCCUUACACAUGCAAGUCGAACGGUAACAGGUCUUCGGAUGCUGACGAGUGGCGAACGGGUGAGUAAUACAUCGGAACGUGCCUAGUAGUGGGGGAUAACUACUCGAAAGAGUGGCUAAUACCGCAUGAGAUCUACGGAUGAAAGCAGGGGAUCGCAAGACCUUGUGCUACUAGAGCGGCCGGUGGCAGAUUAGGUAGUUGGUGGGAUAAAAGCUUACCAAGCCGACGAUCUGUAGCUGGUCUGAGAGGACGAUCAGCAACCCUGGGACUGAGACACGGCCCAGACUCCUACGGGAGGCAGCAGUGGGGAAUUUUGGACAAUGGGCGCAAGCCUGAUCCAGCAAUGCCGCGUGCAGGAUGAAGGCCUUCGGGUUGUAAACUGCUUUUGUACGGAACGAAAAGCCCUGGGUUAAUACCCUGGGGUCAUGACGGUACCGUAAGAAUAAGCACCGGCUAACUACGUGCCAGCCGCCGCCGUAA